rnacentral:rRNA from 1 species
GACGAACGCUGGCGGCGUGCCUAAUACAUGCAAGUCGAACGCUGAAGAGAGGAGCUUGCUCUUCUUGGAUGAGUUGCGAACGGGUGAGUAACGCGUAGGUAACCUGCCUUGUAGCGGGGGAUAACUAUUGGAAACGAUAGCUAAUACCGCAUAACAAUGGAUGACACAUGUCAUUUAUUUGAAAGGGGCAAUUGCUCCACUACAAGAUGGACCUGCGUUGUAUUAGCUAGUAGGUGAGGUAAUGGCUCACCUAGGCGACGAUACAUAGCCGACCUGAGAGGGUGAUCGGCCACACUGGGACUGAGACACGGCCCAGACUCCUACGGGAGGCAGCAGUAGGGAAUCUUCGGCAAUGGGGGCAACCCUGACCGAGCAACGCCGCGGGAGUGAAGAAGGGUUUCGGUUCGGAAAGCUCUGUUGUAAGUCAAGAACGGGUGUGAGAGUGGAAAGUUCACACUGUGACGGUAGCUGAACAGAAAGGGACGGCUAACUACGUG